AGGACGAACGCUGGCGGCGUGCCUAACACAUGCAAGUGGAGCGACGAACCAGGCUUCGGCCUGGGGCAAAGCCGCGAACGGGUGAGUAACACGUGGGUAACCUGCCUCGAUGAUUGGGACAACCCGAGGAAACUCGGGCUAAUACCGAAUGUGCCCUCCGGCCAUAAGGCUGCUGGGGAAAGAAGCUUCGGCCUCCGCAUCGAGAUGGGCCCGCGGCCCAUUAGCUUGUUGGUGAGGUAACGGCUCACCAAGGCGACGAUGGGUAGCUGGUCUGAGAGGACGAUCAGCCACACUGGGACUGAGACACGGCCCAGACUCCUACGGGUGGCAGCAGUUUCGAAUCAUUCACAAUGGGC
rnacentral:rRNA from 1 species